CACGUAGGGCGCGAGCGUUGUCCGGAAUUAUUGGGCGUAAAGAGCUCGUAGGCGGCCUGUUGCGUCCGCUGUGAAAGCCCGGGGCUUAACCCCGGGUCGGCAGUGGAUACGGGCAGGCUAGAGGUAGGCAGGGGAGAAUGGAAUUCCCAGUGUAGCGGUGAAAUGCGCAGAUAUCGGGAGGAACACCGGUGGCGAAGGCGGUUCUCUGGGCCUUACCUGACGCUGAGGAGCGAAAGCGUGGGGAGCGAACAGG
rnacentral:rRNA from 1 species